CCACCAGCUCAGCAGAUUAAUACCCAGAGGCUGAGCAAUGAGCAAAGAAAGGGCUUGACUUUUAUUCAUGUGACCAAAGGGUGUUGGCCUGUGGUGCAAAACUUGUGGGGUGGGGAAAGCAAGCUUACAGAAGCAGAACAAACGCAGUUAAACUGUGACAGGUCUUGUAACUCAGGCAUGUCUUGUGACCUUUGCCAUCCUGCACAGAUGGGAAAAACAGGACCUUACAAAAUCCUUGCAAACUUGCAGAAAUAGUUACAAAAAUAGUUAUACAAGCAGAACAAAGAAUGAUGGCAUGGGUAGAGAAUUUCAGGAAGACACUGAUAAGAACUUGUUUCUCUUGUCCCUGUUUUUGGAACCCAUUUCUUCAGGGCCCCUACCUGGCCUUGCAGAAGAGUCCAGCAGAACAAAGUUGGAAGCAGAGGGAGUGAAUCUAAACCUAUGGACAGAUUCAUCUUGGAAACCCUAAGUGAGGCUAAAGGGAGAAAACAAAUUGGAAGGAGAUUUAAAGGAUUCUCAAAUACAAACUGAAGUUUUCAAGAACAGGAUCAUGAAGGACAGUAAAAAUCAGGAAUUGCCAAACUUUGUCACAAUGGCUGUACAACAUCAGUGAGCCGAAGUCAUACCACUGCAUUACAGCCCGGGCGACAGAGAAAGACUCCAUCUCAAAAAAAAAAAAAAAGGAUGGAUGGAAGAGAAGGAAAGGAAGAAAGGAGAAAAGGGAGGGAGGGAGGGAAGGAGGGAGGACUUGUAUGUGAGAAGUGACUUCUACCUUACUGCUUUAAAAAAUGUAUCUGUCUUUUGACAACAUAAAAUGUCUUGUGUCUAAACAUGGAUCCCUUGUAAUUCACGCAACUUCUUACAAGUGAAGAUUACAGUUUUUCAUCAAAUUUGUGAAGUUUUCAGCUAUUAUUAAACUAUUCUUUAAGCCAAUUUCUUUCUUCCCUCUCACUCCUGGUACAGUAUAUCUUGGUAUGCUUACUUCAUGGCGUUCCAUAGAUUAUAUAAGACUAUAUUAAUUUGUCUUAUUUUUCUUUCUCUUCAGACGAGAUAAUCUUAAUUGAAGUUCCUACAAGUUUGCUGAUUCUUUCUUCUGCCUGUUUAAAUCUACUUUUGAGUUCAUCUGGUGAAAUCUUCAUUUCAGUUGUCAUAAUUUUCCACCCCAGAUUCUAUUUAGUUCUUUUUAAUUUCUGAUUAUUGAUAUUCUCCACUUAAUGAGACAUCAUUCUCCUACUUUCCUUUAUUUCUUCACACAUGACUUCCUAAUUAGGCCUUUGAACAAUGUAAUAUAACUGAUUUAUAAGCUACUCUAGUUACUGUGUCUGGACUUCCUUAGAAUGAAUUUCUGUUGGCUGUGCUUUUUCUUGCGUAUAGGCUGUACUUUUUUUUUGGUUUUGUGCCUGUCUCAUUUUUUGUUGUUGUUGAAAACUGAACAUUUAAAAUAAUAUAAUUUGGCAACUGUGAAAAUCAGAUUCUUCAUUUUCCUAAUGUGUGUUAUGAUUGGUUACUGUUGCUUAGUAAACAACAGUACUGUGACUUUCCUAAACUAAUCCUAUAAAGUGUGUGUGUGUUUUGUCAUAUGCAGCAAUUUAAAAGUCUAUCUAAUUACAUAAAAUACAUAUUCAGCUUAUGACUUGACAGAGAUGUGUAGAACCAGCAGUUUUUGGCUCCACAUGCAUGUUGAAAUAUUCAUUCAGGCUGUUUAUAGUUCUACACUGGCUUUUAUUUAUUUGGGCAGCCCUUGAAGAUUACCCGAAGUGUGAGCCUAAGGCCUUGCCAAGCCUUUCCUUAGCAGGGCCACAGACCUGGCAUUAUCACAUUCAAGAUUAUCAGGAAUAUGUCCCAGUUUUUCAAAGCCCUCUGGACUCUUCAUUCCACUACUGGACUUUUCUUUCCUUUUAAGCUUUAGUGUAUCUAUUGUUUGCCCUAACUGUAUCAAUUGCCUUAAAAACCAGUAUGUUCAACAGCUGUCUCUACAAUUUUCAACCAACAACCCAAAGGAGAAGGCUGAUCAUACUACAGAAGUUCAGAGUCUAAGUCAAUAGUCUAAGUGAGGUCUUGGGUGCAGUGGCUUACACCUGUAAUUCCAACACUUUGGGAGGCCAAGGUGGGUAUAUCACUUGGGGCUAGGAGUUAGAGACCAGACAGGCCAACA
rnacentral:lncRNA from 1 species